rnacentral:lncRNA from 1 species
GGUCAGGCAGAAAAGUCUACUGGAGGGGCCGGGCGUGGUGGCUCAUGCCUACAAUCUGAGCACUUUGGGAGGCUGAGGCGGGUGGAUCUCCAGAGGUCGGGAGUUCGAGACCAGCCUGGCCAACGUGGAGAAACCCUGUCUCUACUAAAAAUUCAAAAAUAACCGGGAAUGGUGGCGCAUGCCUGUAAUCCCAGCUACUCGGGAGGCUGGGACAGGAGACUCGCUUGAACCCGGGAGGCAGAGGUUGCAGUCAGCCGAGAUCACGCCACUGCACUCCAGCCUGGGCAACAAAGAGUGAAACUCUGUCUCAAAGAAAAAAAGAAAUCUACUGGAGGAGAAUCAGCUGCUGUGCCAGAGGCAAGGUAUGACUCUGUGGCCCAGGCUGAAGUGCAGUGGUGCAACCACAGCUCGCUGCAGCCUCGACCUCCCCGGCUCAUGUGAUCCUCCCACCUCUGCAGCCUCGACCUCCCCGGCUCAUGUGAUCCUCCCACCUCAGCAGCCUCGACCUCCCCGGCUCAUGUGAUCCUCCCACCUCAGCAGCCUCGACCUCCCCGGCUCAUGUGAUCCUCCCACCUCUGCAGCCUCGACCUCCCCGGCUCAUGUGAUCCUCCCACCUCUGCAGCCUCGACCUCCCAGGCUCAUGUGAUCCUCCCACCUCUGCAGCCUCGACCUCCCCGGCUCAUGUGAUCCUCCCACCUCAGCCUCCCAAAGCACUGCGAUUUCAGCCCACACUCAGCCCAUUCUUUGUAGUAUUAAACUGUCCCUGUUCAAAUUACUGUGUGGCUCUCCUUUCUCGACUGGAGACUAAUAAUGUAUAUUUUAAUACAGGUUUUUUUUUUUAAGAUGGAGUCUCACUGUGUCACCCAGGCUGGAGUGCAGUGGCAUGAUCUCGGCUCACUGCAAGUUCCACCUCCCGGGUUCACGC